GAAAUGCGAUAAGUAGUGUGAAUUGCAGAAUUCAGUGAAUCAUCGAAUCUUUGAACGCACAUUGCGCCCUUUGGUAUCCCUUGGGGCAUGCCUGUUCGAGCGUCAUCUAAACCCUCAAGCCCUGCUUGGUGUUGGGUGCCUGUCCCGCCCCCGUGCGUGGACUCACCUCAAAUCCAUUGGCUGCCCUCGUGCCGGCCCCGAGCGCAGCAGAAACGCGGUCUCGUGGCCCGGCGGAGUGUGCCCCCAGAAGCAACAUUCACCGUUUUGACCUCGGAUCAGGUAGGGAUACCCGCUGAACUUAAGC
rnacentral:misc_RNA from 1 species